AGGGGUGAUCGCGGUGCGGGCGGUGCGGUUUUUGGCUAAAACCGGAAACCAAACCGCGUAUGCGGUUUUGCCAAUUUCUCAAACCGCAACCGCACCACGAAAAGUUAAAACCACAUAAACCGCACCACGAAAAUGCGGUGCGGUUGCGGUGCGGUUUAUGCGGUUUAUAUAUUAUUAUAUGUUAAAAUUAAAUUAUAAAAUUUGUCAAUAAUUAAAUUUUUUUCUGAGAAAAUAUAAUAUGAUAAAAAUGGAAAUACGAAUACUAAAAGCCAAGGCCUGAAGAAAUGAAUUGAAAGCAAGCAAACCUGUCAAGAUGUUUUAUAUAAAGUUCAGCAUAAAAUGCCUUAAUUAUUCAUAUUAAAUGCUUUCAAAUAAAGUACAUAUAAUUUAAUAUAUUAAGAAAUGAUUUUAACAGAUAGGUAAAAACUAAAAAUAAACAAAAUAAACAGUAGGCAGAACAUAUACACAUCCUUACAUUCCAGACCACCUGAGGCCCAAAUUGAUAUCUAAUAAAGUAGCAU
rnacentral:lncRNA from 1 species